GAUCAGAAACAUUUCCUCCAACAUGCUGUCACUGGACUCUGCUACAGUUUCUCUACUGAUGCUCACUCUCCUAACAGGCGUCAGCUGUCAACAACUCACCCCAGACAAGAAAGAAGAGUCCAGUUUAGAAGGCAGCACUGUUACUCUGUCCUACACUUACAAAGUGUCAACUAGUGAUUAUUUCUACUGGUAUCGACAAUAUCCAGGAAAAGCACCAGAGUUCCUGAUCUCACACGGUGCUUCAGGAUCAGUAGGAAUAGAAAAAAUUCCUGGACUGAAGAUUCAAGUGGAGGGAAACCAAAUCAAGAUGAGCAUCAUCUCUGCUGCAGUGACAGACUCUGCUGUGUACUACUGUGCUGUGAGGCCCACAGUGACA